CAGAGCUUAUGACACGUGUUUAUACAUUAUUGGACACAAAUUUUCAAGGUGUUACACUUUCUGAACUGGCUACCCGAAGAACUCUCCUUGGUUGAUCAGAGGGUAGUAUUGAAGCAUUUUGACUGGCCAAAAGGGAAAGCAUAUGUACUAAGAAAAGCAAGCUUUUACUAUCAAGACCGGAUGCAACUUAAUAACAAGGAACUAACUUUGUUGAUGAUUCCAGUCUCUCCUAUAAGUCUGCUUUGAAGAAUGUACAAGUUGCUAGAGAGUUAUGUAUUAAAAUACUUGAUAAUUAGUUUUAAAUAUAUUUUUUAUGAUCGUUUUAAUCAUUAACGUCUACAAUUUGGUAUGUUUCAGAAUGGAGAGCACCGUUUAUGCAUUACUACGAACACGGGACUCGGGAGUGCGGGACAUGGUUAUGUCCCCUUCAAAAGAAUUUGGCAUCCCAAUUAACUGGUUGCAAGAAUCCGGUGUUUUAGGAAAAUUGCAGAUCAAGCUUGCUUCUAUAUAACUGGCUAGGAAAUUUAUGAAGCGGCUUGCAUUCAAAGUAGAUGCAUUGUAUUGACCCAAUAAAAAACCAAACAUAGUGUUUUUGGUGCUUUAGGGAGUUUGUUUUGCUUCUCGUGUUUAUCAGGUGAGCUAAGGUUUCGGCCACCAAUAGUUCGAUCCGCAGGUUCUUGAAAUUCCGAUGACAAGACGAAGAAGCUUGACCUCGAGAUUGAUGUCUAAAUUUGCCUGAUGGGUACAUAUCAAAACACCCUCCAGGUUAGUACGUUACGGGUCAAGUUUGGAUCUUGACUCACAAGUCACAAUCCUACAAGCUUAAUGCAAGGAAAACAGAUGAUGAUUUAGAGUUCUUUAUUGAUAAUAAAGGUAAUGAUGAAGACGAAAAGAUUAGAUAUGAAUGAUGCUUUUGUUGCAGCUCCCAGAUCUAUGCAGUCUGGUACAAAUGAAAGUGGAAAGAAACGAAAAGAAACACAUGUUGGAAAGAAGAAAGAUGGAGUCAAGUUUCAAAGAUACAACCUUGUUGACCAUUUGGGGUCAAAAUUUGUUCCAUAAAGAUGAUACAACCGCAAUGGGGUAUCGUCUCUUUGCUAUCAGAACCGAGUCGACUAACAACGCCGAGCCACACAGCUAUGACUUUGACGUGUUAACAAUCGGCGUCGGUAGUGGCGGCGUAAGAGCUUCUCGUUUUACCGCCAAUUCUGGGGCUUUAGUUGCUGUUUGCGAGCUUCCAUUUGUUACUAUAUUUUCUGAGACUAUCGCAAGUGUAGGCGUAGGCGGAACAUAAGUUUCUAAUUUAUUGUUUUAUUUUUAAAAAUUAGUUAUAGUUGGUGUUGUUAUAAUCACAUUGGUCUUGAUACUAGAUUUUAUUAGGUUUAUGAUGCUUAGAAAGUAUUGUAAUCGAGUUACUAUGAUAUUUAUUGUGUUCCUAUCAACGAGUUAGGACUGUUGGUGAUUUCUUUGUACACGGAACUUUAAAUGGGCUUG